rnacentral:rRNA from 1 species
AUUGAACGCUGGCGGCAUGCCUAACACAUGCAAGUCGAACGGUAACAGGCCUUCUGCUGCUGGCGAGUGGGGCACGGGCGAGUAAUACACCGGAACGUGACCGAGCGCGGGGGCUAAAGAGGCCGAAGCUUGGCGCAUAUAGCACACGAUACAAGAAGGAGAGCGAGGGGUAUUUUCAGCUCGCGCGGUCGGAGCGGCCGGUGGCGGCGUAGGUAGUUGGUGGGGUAAAAGCUUACCAAGGCGACGAUCUGUAGCUGGUCUGAGAGGAUGAUCAGCCACACGGGAACUGAGACACGGCCCAGACUCCUACGGGAGGCAGCAGUGGGGAAUAUUGGACAAUAGGCGAAAGCCUGAUCCAGCCAUGCCGCGUGUGGGAAGAAGGCCUUCGGGUUGUAAAGUGCUUUUGCGGGGAAGGAAAGGCAUUAAGCUAAUAAGGAGCGGUCGUGACGGUACCGUCAGAAUAAGCACCGGCUAACUACGUG